CGUCAUAGGGUCGCCAUCACCUGAGAACGCCACACAUCAACAUCAGCGGCUUGUUUUAACUCGCUUUUAAACAUGUUAUAAAAUGUAUUAUAUAUACAGCUGGGAAGCAGCGAGCGCCAUCGCAUCAUCAAAACACGACCGUUACCUGAGCGCACAAAUAAACCUUCAUCCGUGAAGAAACACCAUGUUCUUGAGGGGGCUCCAUCCAGACCGCUGGGGUCCUCAGCAUGCGGCCCUCAGUCCCUCCCUAUCCUGACCUCGUGAAGGUCAUCAAACCCUCCUCUGAUGCCAGGCUUUGUUUCUCCUGGGCUUCGUCUCAGGGCGUCAGCGGCUCAGGGGACACUAGUUCACUUCAGUAUACUUCUACAAAAAAUAAAAACACUUCUUAUGGAAUUGUGAAGUGCUUUGCGUCUGAAAGGAUCAGUACAUUUUCAUCAGGAUAUCAGUAUCAUAUAAAAAGAUGAUAAUCGAGUGAACCUGCUGAACUCCUCCAGGCUCCUCAGAAGGACGAGGGCGUCCCGUGAGCGGUUAUAGUGACGUAUGAUGCUUUCUGCUCAAGACGUCCAGUCAGGGAUGAGAAUCUUACAGAUCUUCUGAGAAGAUGUUGGCCGUCUGCUCCGUCUGAGACACGCUUCAGAAAAACGCUUCACUCUAUAUCAACUGUACAACUAAUAAAGAGCCUACAGGUUCAGCGG